AAAAAAAAAAAAAAACGUUUCAUUGAUAUUACUUGGGUUGAAAGAGUGAAGAGGCUUCUGGCAACUGGCUUUUUAAAAAAAUUUUGAAUUGACCUCACCUGAUGCGUAUUUGACGCCUCAUUCUACUUUCUAGGAGGAGGAACGUAAACAGCGGGAGGAACUGGAGCGAAUUAUGGAAGAGAACAAAAGAAAAAUAGAGAUUGCCCAGAUGAAAUUGGCUGAGCAGCAGCUACAGAUGGUAGAGGAGCAGCGAAAGAUUGAUGAGGAGCGGCAGAAAAUCAAGAGGGAGCAGGAAAAGCGGACACGUGAGGAGCAAAAGAUCAUCCUUGGGAAGAACAAUGCGCGGCCCAAGAUCUCCUUCUCUAUCUAAAGCUAGAUACCCACAUGCAUGGGGUCUUUUAUGUUGUAGGUCCACACUCUUUCAUAUGAUUUCAAUUUGUUUUUCUAAUUUUUAAUUAUUUUUUUUUUUUGUCUUUUUCUUUUUUUCCUUAGUCAUUAUUACCAUCGUAUACUUUAUCUCUUUUUCGUUUUUUGUUUUUUACAGGAUAUGUUUCUGCUAUGCAUGAGUGUGAUUGACUUAACUGAUAAGGGUGUGGAGAGCCACACACUUUGUGAUUGCAUGAAACCUUGGUUUUAUUUACUGUUGGUGUUAUUAUAAUUGUUGUUAUUAUUAUUAUUAUUAUUAUUAUUAUUAUUAUUAUUAUUAUUAUCAUCAUCAUCAUCACUACCACCACCACUUACUAUCACUCUUACUGUUAUUAUUAUUAUGAAUAUUAUUACUGUUAUCAUUUUCAUUAUUGCUUAUUAUUUUUUCAUUGUUAUUAUUACUUUAGUAUUGAUUUAUUUGUGCUAUUUCAGUGAUGCUCAUCUCUUGUUUUUAGAAUAUGCAGUUGCACGAGUGUCUGGCUUUCCAUUAAACAUAGUAGAAAAUAAGCUAGUUAAGGGUCUUUCAGAACCUGGGUUCUCUUGAUGUCAAUGCCUACAAUGUGAGUGCUAAAUGUUACGACAAAAGUGGAAGUAGAAACUACUGCCCCAAACCCCUACUUCUUUUGCUUUGAGUGAUAGAAGGCAAAAACUAAGCUAUAAUCUGCGAUUGUGUCAUAAUCGUGACGGUGAAAGCUAACGGUGAAAGAAUAUAAUUCAGAGGGUAAUGAACACUACUAUAAGAAAACCCCCUGACAAUGGCUCAGGCCAGCACUCAGAGUAGCUAGGACUAAUGCUGCAUUAGGCAGUCUUGGUUCAUACUGAUGUAUUUCAGGCGCUUAUAGUAUAACUGUAUCCUAAUCAUCUGCAGAUCAUUUCAUAUGUCCUUCAUCCCAUGUUUGUAAAGUCAUGAUCUUUCACCCGAGUAAGUGUCUUGCCAUAGUGGCAGCAGACAUAAGAAAACAAUUGUAUAUAUAGCACAUGGAUCACAGAUCAUGUACAAAGUUGUACUUCUUUGGUUGGAGUAGAACUUCAGCUACUUUUCACCUGCACUGGUGAAGACUUCCUCAUCAGUCUUUAGAGAAUGGAAAUAAAUACCAUUUGUAUUGGA